GGGUGGGGUGGCUGCCAACCCCAUAAUGGUGGCCUGGAACGAGUGACUUCUGUAGGAUCACAGAGACUGGGCACGUGAGGAGGUGGAAGAUCACUUCACCUCCUCCUGCCCAGCACCUCUGCAGUCUGAUGCCCAGUGCUCACAAGCCCUCCACGCUCCCCUGUCUUCGGCCCCUCCCUUCAUCCAGCACUGAAAAGCAUCUCUAAUUCCGGCGGGCACCGUGGUUGUAGCUCUGUGGCAAGCUCGGCACAGGUGCCAACUGUUAUUCACUCUGCAGCUUCCAUUCCCACAGCUCAGCACCUGCAAAGCCCCCAUUAGCAUCGUGCCAAGGAGAGGGGCUGCGGCUGUGUGUGUGCGUGCCUGCGUGCGAGCGCACGUGCCCGUCUGCCGGUGCUCGCGGGAGCCACGAGGGAAAUUUCCAGCACAAAGAUCGUAUGCCUGAGAGAGAGGAGAAUUGCUCAGCAAACUUCAGAAGCGAUCAAAAUGUCCUCUCCAUAAAGUCCCGGCUUAAAAAAUGUUAGCAGCAGUGCUUACUGAGUGCCUCGUGUGCAGGGCCCUCUUCCAGGCCCUGUGCUCAUGGCGAUGCUGAGGUCCCUCCCGUGGGGAGAAGCAGGCAAUAACGAAGGGACGAAGGGAAGGAGCGAUCACUGCUACAGAGGAAGGAAAUCAGAGUGACUGGAAGCGGCUAGUCAGGGAAGGCUCUGUGAGGGACUCUGGAGCCCAGCAGCCUGACAAGAAGGGGCCAGCUCGAGGGAGACAGCCAGAUGGUCCCCAAGUGGUGGCAGAGAGGCUGUCGGCAGCUCCAGGUUUAACCUCCUGUCAGCUGAGGAGAGGACUUGCUCAGAUGAGAGUCCUCGUGGGCGUCCAGGACAAACGAGGACAGGGGAGGCUGCUUGGCUGGCUCUGGGGAUGCCCCUCAGCUCACUGCCCCCUUCCCCUCGGACUUGGCAGGUAGCCCCUGAGAGGGCUCUGGAGACCACACCUGCGGUCCCUGCCUCCCCCGAAGUCCCACCUGUCUGUCCUGGCUCCCUCUGCUGAUGACCCUGCGCCAGCCCCCUCAGCGGUGAUGAAGGCCUGGGCCACGGCUGCCUCUGGACAUGGCACAGGCGUCCUGCCUGGGGGGCGGCCCUAGAAAUGUGACAUUCUCCUGGCCCACUGGGCUGAGAGUCCACCACGGCCCUCAUGCUCCCAUGGUGGAGGGCGUUUAUUAUGGGGAAGUGCACGUGGUCCACCUGCCCACUAAAGCAGACACCCAGAGCCCCCACCCUCCUCUGUGCUCUUUCGAGGCAGACCAGCGUGCUCAUCAAGAGUGCAGGCUCCGGAGCAGAUGGCCCGGUUACUGGCUGUGUGACCCUGGACGGUUCCUCAGCCCCUCUGUGCCUCAGUAUCCUUGUCUAGGAGGUAGGGAAAUAAUGCUAGUGCUGCUGUGAAGACUCAAGGAAGCAGGGCAGGGGCUCUGGACACGCUAGCUGUGAUCGUAUGGACGGCUGUUUGUGGGGCCGUGCUGGCCCGGAGUUUGGUUGCAGGUGACAGGAAUGGACUCCAGCCAUCUCAGACAGGAGGGCAUGCCUGGGGAGAGCUCCCUUUCCUGCCGUGUCUCACUCCAGCCUUGGCCCUGAGAGUGGGUGUGUGGUCAGCCCGCCCUGCCAUGUGGGGGACCAGGCGGGGGAGUCAGCUCUGAGUGAAGGGGCAGCAAGGGGCCGGCGAGGGCCUGCCCUCUUCCGAGACUGUCCCUGCAAAGACACACCAAGCCGGCGGCUUUCGGCAGACCCAACCCCACACCGUGCGUCCACGCUGUUUGAUUUGAAAGCCCUUUUCCCACACACUGCUGAGCUCAGCUGGCACCAGGGUGGUGGACUGCAGGCGCACGGACAGGGAGCCAGAGGCUCGAGUCCUCGGGGCUGGCUAGGAUCCUGGCACUGGCCCCUGAGAGGCCCGUCUGUGCCCUGUGUGAGCUGGGCAGGCCUUCGGGGCAGUGAGACAGUCUCAAGUCCUGGCGGUCAAUCCACGACAUGCUCGGUGUCCUGGCUGCAUCCCCUCACGUCUGGGCGCCAGCUCCAGGGCCGAGCGCACAUCCUUGGCAAGGGCACCUCGCUUAAGGAAUGUGGACCAAGGCCAGCAGCGGCCUGCCACGAGGAGGGGCAACCCCUACCCUCUUCUGGAACUUUUAGACCCUGGGGGAUGGAGCUCAGGCUGGCCUUCGGCAUAUGGCCCUCUUUCCAUCGCAAAAGGGUGAUGAGACGCUGUGGUCAUGGGCCGCAUCCUCGCGGCAGGGUCCCACGCCAGGCGCUCGGAGCAUCUCUGGAAAGGGCACCAGGGACCGCCAAGGUGUUCUCGCUAUUAUUAUUGAGCAUAAAACACUGCAAAUGCUGGCAGAUCUGCAGGCGAAGCGGAUCCUCCUUCCUGGGGAGAGAUCGGAGGGCUGCUUUACGAGUCUUUUGGAGUCACGGCCCCGCAGAGGGAGCGGGCUCGGUGGACGCCUUCAAGAGCAGAGCCGUUCCGGGCUGGGAAGUCUGAUUCCCUACAUCUGUUUUUAUGGGAACUGCUGGGAGCCGCGGGGGGAGGCAGGAGUAUGAACAGCGCAGACGGCAGCGGCCUCCUCACCAGACUGUUGAUGGGUUCGGCCGCAUAAACGUGGCCCUCGGUCUGAGGCAGGAGUUAUUAAACGAUACGAGCCCACCGAGAGGGGCUCAAGCCGCAGAAGAGGAAUCAGGGCUUUAUGCCCCCCGCUUCUGCGCAGUUAAAGAAAAUAUCCCCAUUAAAUGCGAAUUAAUUGGCUCCUGUCAUUGGUGCGGCCCUGCCUCUGGCCUCGUGGUGGGCCGGGCGGUUGAGAGGCCUGUCCCGGGCGGCCGGGUGGGAGUCCACGCAGGCCCGUGCUGCUGAAUUGCUUCCUGCCGUCCUGCCCGAGCCUGCUGCAGGGAGCACUGGCUCCUGGCGGGAGGGCGAGCUGCCAGUCUGCUCGUGGCUCCUCACCUGUCCCCUGGGGCUGCCAUCCUUGUUCCCACUGGCAUCUUGUUGCUGCAGGAGGCUGGGACCUAGUCAGGCACUGUGGGACACACACGCUUACACGCUCAGCACCAGAGAGGAGGCCUCCAAGUGGGCUCACAAGGUCUGCCCAGUCCAGCCCCGACGUCUUGGUCAGGGCUGCUACACACAGUUGUGCGUGUCAUGCACCACAUGAUCUGGCCCAAACCCCUUCUGCACUCUAUUCCUCAUAGCCCUGGGCCUGUCCCCACCCAGGGGGCACUUUUCUGAGGGCACCAUGCCAGCUAGCAGAGAGCUGGUUCUGGCGUUCUGGCCUCGACUACACUCGCCAUCCUGUAGCCGCACUCAAGCAUACCCCCUGCCCCAAACGCCACAGGGCCUGUGUCUGCACCAUCCCUCCCUCUCCGUGGUGCUCCCCUCUUCUCUGCACCCAGUGAGCCAAGCCUCCCAUCCCAUGCAAACACCACCUCCUCCUCUAGGCUCUUCCCUCUGAGCUUUGCCUGUCGCCCCUGCCUUCCUUCUGGAAACAGUGCCCGCCUAGCACACACGCAUGCUCUUUUCGGGGAUUUGCUCCUCUGUCACUCCGGGCCCACCCCUGCAGCAGUUGACGGGUCCCUGCUGGGCACACGGCCCAGGCCCGCAGCUCAGCUGUCCCCUAGGCUACUCUGGAACCACAGCUGGAAGGAGAUGUGUGGUCCUUUUGUGAGAGGUCAGGAUGUGAGCGCCUCCAGGGGCCUUGCUGAGGAGGCUGCCUUGGAAAGAUGAGCAGCCCUGGUCCCUUGGGCUGGGCCCUGGCCCAGAGCCUCUCCUCUGCUGGGGUCCUGUCCCUGGACACACUGGGGUUAAGCGUUGCCCUCUUGUGGCUCAGGGAGUCGUGCUUACCUGAAGACUGUGGGUAGCCCGGGGUCCUGCGGGAUGUCUGAAGGAAGGUGGGCCAAAAGAUGGAGAAAAGGGUGGCCGAGAGGCCCGCCCCUCCUCUCCCAGCCAGACAGCCGCCGCAGCCCCCAGCUUCCCCUCCCGCCCCUUCGGGGCCAGUCCUCAGCCCCUCUGUUCUCUAAUCUGUUUCCAGGGAGGGAGUGGCAGGAGCCGUGCUCUGGGUCCUGUGGACACUAGUGACGCCUGUGCUGUGAUGUCCAGGGAAUGACCAAGAAGCACGAGGUGCUGGGGCUCAGCCCUCUAGCUGGGACAGGCGGCUUCCAGCGAUGGCUCUGCCACCUACAGCCUUGUGAGCUCAAGCAAGUCACUUCCCUCUCCCAGCCUCUGGGUCCCCGUGGUAAGGGGACAGGGGUGUGUUAUGUCAGGACAUAGAAGCUGAUGUGGGAGAAUGCCAGCCCCUCACCAACACCUGUCCCCUCCUUCAGGAGGCAGGGACUGUUCUGGCAGCUGCCAGCCGGUUCAUGUCCACGAGCCCUCCUCCUCACCAUCAGCGUGCCCCAACGGGGAGCUGGAGGCCCGAGUGCCGGGAAGUCAGCUGCCUCGGAACUGGGCAGCCUGGCCUUCACCCAGGAACCCUCAGAGGACAUGGUGACACCUCCCUCUGUCCCUGUGGAAGCUGCCCCCAGCGCCCCCGCCCCUGCCCUAUGCCAGCUGAACUGGAUGGAGCCGUUGGAAAAUAAAGGCUGAGCGGUGUUGAAAAGCAUCCAAUUGUGUCUACAGUGUGGCAGAUGUCCGCACCGCCUCGCACAGAAGGAGAGUCAGGGCGCGGCUCUCUGGCAGUGGGCGCCUGCGAGGAGCCCAGUGUAUUUAAAAAGUCCCGUCCAGGUGGGACUGGGACCCAGCAGACACCUGCUCCCCCACCGCAGAGUCCUUUCUUUCCCAUCGCAGUCUUCCAGCAGCUCCCACUGCUCUAGGAUAAAGGCCCACUGCUCGCCAGAGCUCCUGAUCCCCCACCUCCUGCUCCCCCGGCCUCCACGUUCCAGCCACGCGCACCUUCUUCUGCCUUCUAGAACACGAUGCACUCAUUUCUGCCAAAGGGUCUCUGGGUCUGCUGUUCCCUGUGGGGAGAGCUUGUCCCCAGAUCUUUUACCCGUAAGAGCCCUUCCUGAUUUAUAAUAACUUCCCCCACAGCCACCCUUGCUGCUCCCUUCCUUCCCCUGCUCUCUGUGUUUUAUUUCUGUGCCGCCGUCUGCGCCCUCCAGACGGGUCCUCGUGGCCCCAGCUCAGCCAGCCCCCAGGCAGAGACACGUUGCUGGCAGUCUGGAGCCUCGGUUCAUCCCUUCCUGUCCCACUGGCUUGCUGCCUCCUCGUGGAGCUCAAGAUGUCAUCUGGCAGCUCCAAGCUGAGCAAGAGCUGGGCUCUCCCCAUGACUCCUACCAGCUGGCCCAGCAGGCCCUGACCUCUGCCCUGCACAGCCCUGCAGAGACUCAGACGCCGAGGCCAGGCGCUUGGCCUUCACUGCAGGUGGACGUUGUUCUUGCCCUGCUGGUGGCUAUGGCCCCUUCCUGGGGUAAUUUCCAUUGGAGGAACACCCUCCCCACUUUCAAUCCAAGUGGUUCAAGUGGGGCUGUCACAUGGCCUCCCCAGUCUCAAGGUGAGCCUGUGGUGAGCCCAGCCAAUCAGAGGUUUCCUUUCCCUGGAUAUAAGGAUCAGCUCCUGGAUGGUGUGUGAUGCAAGCUGAGGCCCAUGGGGCCUUUUGUUAACACCAUACGUAAUUAACACAUCUGUAUUAGCAGCAUUCGUAAUUGCUGUUGUGAUCAGUUUCUCUAUGGAGAAGGGUGGGGUAUGAUGACAGCCUAUGAGGGAGAUGUGAGCAGCUCAGAGGGAAGGGGACAUAUCAGAGAGAGCUUCCCAUGGAAGCGAGCUUUGAGCUGAGACCUGAAGGAUAUGCAGGAAUUACCUAGGAGAAGGGGAAGGGAAGUGAAGAUGAUUCCAGAAAACAGAGUGGUGCGUGCAAAGG
rnacentral:lncRNA from 1 species